GAUAAAAUGGCUGAGGUUAGGUAAUAAUUUGUAAAAUUAUUAAGGAGAAUAUUUCUCUUUUAUCA
rnacentral:tRNA from 1 species